CUUGACCGAGCCGAGCCACAGGGGCUCACCGGUGCGGUCCCGCCCGUAGGUGGCGAGCAGGGCCUGGGCCUC
rnacentral:antisense_RNA from 1 species